rnacentral:tRNA from 1 species
GGAAAUGUGCCCGAAACCUAGGGGUUACUUUGAUAGAGUAAAACACAGAGGUUAAAAUCCUCUCAUUUUCC